ACUAUUUUGGCAGAUAAGUGCAUUGGAUUUAGAAUCUAUUAAUGUAAAAUUGUUAUUUUUUACAAGUAGUA
rnacentral:tRNA from 1 species